rnacentral:lncRNA from 1 species
ACCAUUACCACUAACCACCAUUUUCGUCACACUACCACCGACCCCAAACAACCACCAUAAGAAAAUCAACCUCUUCACCACCGCCGUCAGAAACGACGCUGGCGACGGGAUUGGGUGGUCGGCGACGGGAUUUGAGUGCCAAUCCAUCGAAUCGAUCUCAUCCUCUACCUCUAGAUCCGAGUUAAGCACGUGAUAGGAUUUGAUGGUCGGCGGUCGUGCAGAAAAUCAUCGGAGCGAAGAACGGGCUGGUGAAGACGGCAGAAAACGAUGUAACGGGUGGUGGGUGAUGUAAUGUUUAGAUCUGAGCUAUUGAGGAAAUUUAGUUGGUAUAAUGUUGAGUGAUUAAUUUGUUAUAUCU